CGUCACACAUGUAAGAAAUAUAUCGACAAUAGCAGCUUGAGCUGUAGUUAUAUAAAAUGUGAACAAUUUUAGUAGAUAUUUAAACACGUAUAAAUAAUUCAAUAAAAACGUUUAAAAACUGUCGGAAACUGCUUCUCAACCAGUAACGGAAAUUUUCGGGUAUCUCCGUGGUACCAUCUCCGUGCAAUUAUGCAGUAUGGCGUUCAUCUCUUACGGAAAGAGAAUGGUAACUUGGUAAGUGUUUAAAAUACAUAUUCAACGUUUUUUUUCGUUUAUUUUUAUGACUUUUGUACAGUAGUAUAAAUCGUCCACCCUUUGGAUGAAAAGCAAAUGAUUUAUCCGGAGUUUGUUCAUCCGAAACUAAAUCACUAGUAUCAACAUCCGGUGUAAUUUUUGCUUGUAUUUUGGAGAAACUCGAUUGAUUUCUAGCAAACUUGGUUUACCACUACAUCGUCGCUUAUUAUUAUUUGUUGCUGCUUGGGACAUUAAAGUUAAGUCAGCAACCGUCUACCAGACUGCAAGAUUCAUCUCUUCCAAAGGAUGUCGUACCUUUCCAGAUACACUGUGUUUUGUGUGGAUAAGAAAUGCAGAGUGGUACCACCAAUCACCUAAGCCACCAUUCCCCUAACAGACAAUAGGCUCAAGGGGACAGUUCCUGCAAUUUACAGAAAAGCUCUCAAUUGUAGCCCUACGAACUUAAGAUACUGCCGAUGGUGAAGCUUGGAUGCACCGGGCCGGUUUUCCAGCCGUGUGGAAUCUCCAGCUGAACUGGGGCUGGGAAUUAUAUAAGACUCCUUAGCAGCAUGAGUGCCAGCCAGUCAUUGCUGUUCUUGCAUUGCUGAGGAGGACAGUCCUGCCAACAUAACAGUUUGUUCAAUAACCGGAGACAAACAGAAACACAGAGGUGCUAUACAUUCUGAUGGAAAAACAAAAGCAUCUCCCAUCAUUUUGGCGUGGCUCAGAUCAAGAGGAGAAUUUUAAGAAAGGUGAUGGUUGGGCACACACAAGAAGACAUAGAUCACAGGUGUCUAGCCAUAUGAGUAGAUAGGAGUGUCACACUCUGCCAAACUUACUUCAGAUAGGAGUGUCACACUCUGCCAAACUUACUUCAUCAGACGAGCAGAAAGCUUCUCAAGAUCCCGCACUGCGCACUAAGACAUAGUCUUUGACUACAACAAGGUGAUGAAAGUACAGAGGUCCAAUUGAAAUCAAUUCUGUGCUGCUGUCAUUUCUUCAUUCUGGAAGUCGAUGGACAUGAUUUAUUAUGGCAUCAAGUGUGUAGUUUGCCGACUAUCAGCAGUCUUGUUCACCAGCUGUGCAACUUGAGCUGGUAGCUUUAUUGCUUGAAGCCACUGCAUAAGAGGGGGAAGGUGCAGGCUCAUCAAAAAGUCUCAAAAGUUGAAACUAGGAAAAGAAGUUUAUCAAGAGUGUGAAUCUAUUUUGAAAACAAUCGUUACAAUGAUUUGGUUUCCUUUGAAACUUCAUACAUACUAUGAAUUGAGAUGCUUAAAUAAAAAACCGCUAUUCAAAUAUCAGGAAACUGCCUUUUUCAUACUAAAGGGUAAAUGAUGUCGCCAUUUCCUGUAUGUAUUUAAAUAAGGGAAUUUUUCUCAACUGAAUGAGAUUAAAUUGUACAGCGUUAUAUGAGCUUAAUAUGUUUUCUCAUUCUUUAAAAUUGGUGAAAAAUUGUCAGAAGAUAAUUAGACCAGUAUCCAUUACUGCAAUCAUACAAUCAAAUAUACAGGGACAAGCCCACUGGGCAUAUAAUAUAAUUAAACCCUGUUUAGGGGCACGAGGCAAACAGAGUUACUUUCAAACGUUAAAGCUGCACUCUCACACUUUGGAUGUUUUGACAACUUUUUUCAUUUUAUGUCUUGGAUUGGAACCAUCCAAUUUUUGCGAAAAAUUAAAUCCCAGAUUUUUCUAUUUAAGUUAAAACAUUGAUAUUUUUUAUGCACUUUUCUUAAACCGUUAGUAACAUUAAUUUUCGAACGGAAAUAUGAAAUCUGCGAUCUGAUCUUUUGUCAGCAAUCUUUUAUCAUUGGUUUGCAGAUAAUUACGCAAAAACUUGCUCAUUCGAAGACAAAAAAAAUUGUGGAAACGGUAUAUCUGUGAGAGUGCAGCUCUAAAUGUUUAAUUUCUUGAUUUUACUACUGUAUUAGAAAUUACAGGGAUUGGGGUAUAUUUUUAGUGUUUUUAUUGCUUGUUUUUGAUUCAUACAGUCAUACUUUAUUCUUCAGGGCACAACUUACAAAUAAACAAAACUGGAAAAUGGUCAUAUCAAAAGGUCAAAGAUAAUGCAAGUUGAACAAUCAUAUUGUUCAUGGCUUGUAUUUUUGGUAUAUUUUGUUGCAUAUGCUAUAGAAAAGUUGAAAGUUAAAAAUAAAUUCAUAGUUGAAAUGAUGGCUUUGAAUGAUAUUGUCAGAUGAGAAACGGCACUAUUAAGAAUUAGGUAUAAUGGUACUUUAUUUAUUUUAAUCAAUUUUAGAUAUUAUGAAAAUUAUUAUCUUAUUUAGUACAUGAGACCUUUUAAACAGUUAUUGACAAUAUAACAAUGUGUAUAUGAAGCUUUAGAUCAAAACUGAAAGCUGCACUCUUACAGAUGGUCAGUUUAGACACAAAAUUGUCUCAAAAUCGGCUGAUUUGGUUAUCAUUCUUUUAAUUCAGUCAUAUUAGAUAAUUCACAAUAGAACCAAUCAAAAAUGUUUGGUAAAACUGCCGAAAAAGUAAUUUACAUUAAAUUGUUUGUAAUGCUUUUAGUCAUUGUUCGUAAUGCUUUUAGUCAUAAAACAUCAUUUUUUUAACAUAAAUAUGAUGAACUGCAAUCUGAUCUUUUUUCAGCAGUCUUAUAUCACUUAAAAUUGGUUCUAGACAUUUCUGCAAAAAAUACUCCAUUUAUUGACAAACAAUAAAAGAGUACCGGUAGUCAAAACGAUCAAUCGGUGAGAUUGCAGCUUUAAAUACACCUUUUAAGACCGCCGUAAAAUUCCAAUGGUUUGCCUAAAUCUUUAAAGCUAGCAUACUGUUUAAUUGACAACCAUACUUAUUGUUUAAAAUAUGUCAUGAUAUCUUUGUACAAUGUGUUUAUAUAAUUCAUUAAAGAAGUCAAAACAAA